AUGUACGCGCUCUCGCUCGAGGUCUGGGGCGCCACGCCCGCCGUCGUCGCCCCGCCCCGGCGCGACCCGGUGCCCGACGUGGGCGCGGCGUCCACGGCGGCGACGGCGGCGGUGGGGAGCAAGAUGCCAGUCCCGCCGGUGCCGCGCGCUGCCCCUGCUCCUGCUAAGAAGAGGCGCUGCGACGAGUACCCCGCGCUGGCGAGGGAGGCGGAGAGGCUGACGAGGGAGGCCCUGGAGCGCAUCGACGACGUGACGGCGUGGUCGCUGGAGAUGAGGGCGAGCAAGAAGGAGCAGCGGCGUCUGCAGAGGACGAGGAAACAGUACCGGCAGCAGCAGCAACGCGCCGGCGGUGUGCCUGUGCCCGCCGGUGGGCGCGGCGAGGACGGGAGCAAGGAGCUGGCUAGCGUGAUCGUGAAGCUUGUUAGAGGCAACCAUGGCCCCUCCUCAGCUGGGAACCAGCAGAGAUGA
rnacentral:rRNA from 1 species